AUCCCUUCUUGGCCUUUUGGCUAAGAUCAAGUGUAGUAUCUAUAGUGUUUCUGAGUGUAUCUCUUUGUAUAACUUCCUCACUAGUUGCAUUAGUUAUUACAUUAUAUAUACAUAACUUACGUAAU
rfam:Homo sapiens chromosome X, GRCh38 reference primary assembly.